rnacentral:rRNA from 1 species
GUGGGGAAUAUUGGACAAUGGGCGCAAGCCUGAUCCAGCCAUGCCGCGUGAGUGAUGAAGGCCUUAGGGUUGUAAAGCUCUUUCACCGAUGAAGAUAAUGACGGUAGUCGGAGAAGAAGCCCCGGCUAACUUCGUGCCAGCAGCCGCGGUAAUACGAAGGGGGCUAGCGUUGUUCGGAUUUACUGGGCGUAAAGCGCACGUAGGCGGAUCGUUAAGUCGGGGGUGAAAUCCUGGAGCUCAACUCCAGAACUGCCUUCGAUACUGGCGAUCUUGAGUCCGGAAGAGGUGAGUGGAACUCCUAGUGUAGAGGUGGAAUUCGUAGAUAUUAGGAAGAACACCAGUGGCGAAGGCGGCUCACUGGUCCGGUACUGACGCUGAGGUGCGAAAGCGUGGGGAGCAAACAGGAUUAGAAACCCCUGUAGUCC